UCAAAUAAAAUAAAGAAUUUUAAAAAGGUUAGUACUGUAAAGGAAAUUUUAAAAUGAAACUAUUAUUUUUUACCUUUGGUAUCAGGGUGGUUUAAAUUAUAUAAUAAUUUUAUAAUCUCGAAAGGUUUUGAGCUAAGUAAUGAAGAUUUAAUAUUGAAUUAUUAUUAUUGUUAUUUAGAGAAGAUAUUUUAGUCAAAAAACUUUAUCUAGUUAAAUAAAAAUUUUAGGAUAAGCUAAGAUUUAAGUUAAAUUAAAAUUUAAUAUUAGUUCAAUGGUCUUGAAAGAAGACAAUUUAAAGUGAGUAAAUUCUUAUAAAAAAUAAUUUAAAUCAAUUAACUAGUAAGUUAUUUAAAUAAUAUAAAUAACGAGAUAAUGAGCCGAUUAGUAGCAUUAAAUUUUUUUAAAAGAUAAAAAAAGAAAAAGUAAAGUAACUUUACAAAUUUUUAUAAGGACUGUUUAACAAAGACAUUUCUUUUUGUUUAUAAAAAGUAUAUUCUGCUCAAUGAAUAUUUAAAUAGCCGCAGUAUUUUAACUGUGCAAAGGUAGCAUAAUAAUUAGUUAUUUAAUUGAUAACUUGAAUGAAAGAAUUCACCUUGUUUAAUUUUCUUUACUUUUGAAAGCGAAUUUGAAUUUUCUGUAAAAAUUCAGAAGUAGAUUGGGGGACGAGAAGACCCUAUAGAAUUUAAAAUUUAUUUAUAUUUUAAGUUGUAAAUAAAUUUUUAUCUGGGGCGGAUAGAAAAGAAUUUAUCUUUUUUGAAUAGAUACUAAAAGAAAGGGUAAUGAUCCUUUAAAGAAUGAUGAUAAAUUACCUUAGGGAUAACAGCGUAAUAUUUUUUGGAGAGUUCAUAUCGAUAAAAAAGUUUGCGACCUCGAUGUUGAAUUAAGAGUACUUUUAUGGGUAGAAUAAUAAAAAGUUAGUCUGUUCGACUAUUAAAUUCUUACAUGAUUUGAGUUCAGACCGGUGCAAGCCAGGUUGGUUUCUAUCUUUAAUUUAGUAUAAUUUAAUAUAGUACGAAAGGAUUUAUUAAAUCAAAAAUUUUGUUGUUUUAGA
rnacentral:rRNA from 1 species